UACAGAGGGGGCAAGCGUUGUCCGGACUUACUGGGCGUAAAGCGCAUGCAGGUGGCUGUGCAAGUAUGCUGUGAAAGCCCCGUGCUUAACACGGGGAGGCCAGUAUAGACUGCACGGCUCGAGGACUGCAGAGGGUAGGGGAAUUGCUGGUGUAGUGGUGAAAUGCGUAGAGAUCGGAAAGAACACCAACGGCGAAAGCACUCUGCUGGGCCGACACUGACACUGAGAGACGAAAGCUAGGGGAGCGAAUGGG
rnacentral:rRNA from 1 species